GACAGAGGAUGCAAGCGUUAUCCGGAAUGAUUGGGCGUAAAGCGUCUGUAGGUGGCUUUUUAAGUCCGCCGUCAAAUCCCAGGGCUCAACCCUGGACAGGCGGUGGAAACUACCAAGCUGGAGUACGGUAGGGGCAGAGGGAAUUUCCAGUGGAGCGGUGAAAUGCGUAGAUAUUGGAAAAGACCACCAAUGGCGAAGGCACUCUACUGGGCCAUUACUGACACUGAGAGACAAAAGCUAGGGGGAGCAAAAUGGGG
rnacentral:rRNA from 1 species